UCAGCCUCUCGAUUCUGGUUUCGAGGGAUGAAGGAGAAAGAAACGUCGGUGAAAGAAGACGAGAUCUGUUGAAUGUCCCAGAGGAUACCAAAGAUCUCGUUUGUCUGCAUGUUUCCGUUGAUAGCUCGAAUGAGCGAUUGAUUUGUCGGAGGCCAUCUUGAGGUUCAUAUGCCCAAGUGUUCUGCCUUGAUGUGAGACGUUCUCAGCGCUAGUGCGUCUGCCAUGAGUGGGGAGUUUGCAAAAUCCACGGUUGUGUAUCCUUGUCGAGUCUCACUAGUGUCGAUUCCUGAGAAAAUCCAAGCCAAUCCAACUCUUUGAGUGUCUUGUCCCAUGAUGCGUGUGAUUUGCAGACGACCUCUGGUUCAGUCGCUUGUCCGAGUGAUCUUUCUCUGCUUAAAUCAGGUAAAGGUUUGUUCUUGAUCAGCUUUUGUUUAUUUUCCCAUCUCCACUCUCUGGCUAGAGCUAAUAUUUUGGUUGAAUCUUUUCAAAAUCUUCAUUCGAGUCUACAGCUAUGUGAACUGACUGAGAUAUCAGAAUGUUUUGCCACACUUCGCAAGCAAAAUAACAUGUAAAGAAAAUAUGGGCUGAUGUUUCUCUUUCAUUGCAUCUAGUGCAAUUGAUCCAUGUCAUAAUGCGUCUUUUCUGCAAGUUCUCACCCAGUGGUAACGCGUCGCGUCUUGUAGCACAGAUGCCUGCCUUAGAAGGUUGCCAAAUGUAUAUGUACUCUUCUCCCAUUUGGCUUGGCUUUAGGCAUUGAAUCUCCGGAGCAAACUCAGGAAUGAUCUCCUAAAUUCUUUUUGUAUUCCACUUCACAUCAGUAUUUAGGAGAAUCCACUACUCGUAGGGAUGGCUGAGAGGAUUGCUUGAACCAUAGUGAGCUUGCCUGCCUUGGAGAGGAACCGGGUUUACCAGCUAACAACGCAAUUUUAGAUUCUUUCGACUUCUUCCGAAAUGUUCAGAAAGGCCUAAAAAGUGAUUGAGGACUUGGGAGUAUUUAUCUUCAGUCCAGAAGCUUUCUCGUAAUUCAAUAGAAUAUUGCAUAAGGCUUCACAACCGGCAGGUGAGGCAGCAUCGAAGAACAUCGUGUCAUCUGCAAAUAGCAUACGAUUGAUGCGAAGCCACUCUUAUGCCCCGGAGUGAAGUAUCUUUUGCUGCAUUUCUCCAUAGGUCCAAGAUGACUUCUCCACAAAGAAUGAACAAAUAUUAUCCUAUCAAUCUAACAAUUCAUUUUUUAAUCCUUGAAGAAAUCUUAAAUCUAACAAUCAGAUUACUCAAACAUGAUCAAUGAAACAAAAAUUAUUAUUUGAAUAAACUGCAAUAAGAAAUCAAU